ensembl:misc_RNA Metazoa_SRP Metazoan signal recognition particle RNA
GCCGGGUGUGGUGGUGCACACUUGUAAUCCUAGCUACUCAGGAGGCUGAGGCAGGAGAAUUGCUUGAACCUGGGAGGUGGAGGUUGCAGUGAGCUGAGAUUGUGCCACUGCACUCCAGCCUGGGUGACAGAGCAGGACUCUGUCUUUU